rnacentral:rRNA from 1 species
GAUGAACGCUGGCGGCGUACCUAAUACAUGCAAGUCGAGCGAACGGACGAGAAGCUUGCUUCUCUGAUGUUAGCGGCGGACGGGUGAGUAACACGUGGAUAACCUACCUAUAAGACUGGGAUAACUUCGGGAAACCGGAGCUAAUACCGGAUAAUAUUUUGAACCGCAUGGUUCAAAAGUGAAAGACGGUCUUGCUGUCACUUAUAGAUGGAUCCGCGCUGCAUUAGCUAGUUGGUAAGGUAACGGCUUACCAAGGCAACGAUGCAUAGCCGACCUGAGAGGGUGAUCGGCCACACUGGAACUGAGACACGGUCCAGACUCCGACGGGAGGCAGCAGUAGGGAAUCUUCCGCAAAGGGCGAAAGCCUGACGGAGCAACGCCGCGUGAGUGAUGAAGGUCUUCGGAUCGUAAAACUCUGUUAUUAGGGAAGAACAUAUGUGUAAGUAACUGUGCACAUCUUGACGGUACCUAAUCAGGAAGCCACGGCUAACUACGUG